ACACACACACACACACACACACACACACUUUGCAUCAGCAGCUCCUGCUUCAGUGCUCGGUUAGGGUUUAUAUUCCUGUGACUUGAACACUUCAUGACUGAGAGCUGCUGCUCAGCAUCUUCACCCACAGCAACCAUGACUUUGAUCAGCAUCUUCAUCUGCACACUGGCCCUCUGGACUCAAGGAUCCAGAGGUCAGGUGACUGUGACUCAGACUCCUUCAGUGCAAACUGUUGUUCCAGGAGACACAGUUACCAUCAACUGUAAAUUCAGCACUGCUGUGUGGCAUGAUUGUGGGCCAUCUGGUGUAUCAUAUGACUGUCUCGCCUGGUACCUACAGAAACCUGGAGAAGUUCCUAAACUCCUAGUACAUUAUGUGAGUCACUUGUUCUCAGGAACUCCAGCUCGGUUCGGUGGCAGUGGAUCUAAGACUGACUUCACUCUGACCAUCAGUGGACUCCAGGCUGAAGAUCCAGGAGAUUAUUACUGUCAGAGUUUACAUAAGAUCAGUGGUAGCUGGGUGAUCACACAGUGUUUGAGCGUCAUACAAAAACCUCAGUCAGUAAGAAGCACAGAGAAACACUGCUGCAGCUGGGAGAGACUGCAGGUGCUGAGGAAACACACCACACUGAUCCACAUAAGUCUUUAUUGAACUGUGGAUACGUUUUUAUUAAUUAAUAACCAAUAAUAUGCGGCCCUAGAGAAGGUUUUCAUUUGUGUACAAACUGUGUGUACAUCAAAAGUAAGUACACCCCAUUUCAGCAACCAUUUUAGUAUCUCCUCAAGGGACAAUAGUAUAGAAAUGUUACUUGGAUACAUUUUCGAGUAGUUAAUGUGCAGUUUGUAAAGCAGUACAGAUUUACUGCCCUCUGAAAAUAACAACAUACAGCCAUUAUUGUCCAAACUGGCAAUAAAAGUCAGUACACCCUAAGGGAACAUGUUAAAACUGUGUCCAAAGUGUGAAUAUUUAGUGUGAACACCAGUGUUAUUUAGCACUGCUUCAAUCCUCCUGGGUAUGGAAUUCACCAGAACUGCACAGGUUGUUGCUGGGAUCCUCUUCCACUCC